CACCAUUGAACGAAUCUGUCUUAGCUCAGCGGCCGGCGAGGGAGGACGUGCGAGCAGUGGUCCCUAAAAAUCAGCAAUAUCGCGGUGCCCUUUGUUAUCAUCCUCAAAUCACAUCACCAAAGCAACAGAAAUGGCCGUGGACAACCAGAACAGCGGGAACUGGAGUGUGAUGAGCGAGGCGAGCCUGGCUAAGAACUUCCCCCUGCAUAGAGCCUGCCGGGACGGGGAUGUGGCGGCCCUCUCGGCGCUCCUGCAGCAGGCCGCCACACAGGCCCACCUCACCCUGGAGGACACGUAUUACGGGUGGACGCCUACGCACUGGGCGGCAUACUUCGGGAAGCUGGAGUGUUUGAAGGCGUUGGUGGCCAGCAGCCAGGCCGUGCACCCGGGCAUGACAACCUCGAGGUUCACCCAGACACCGGCGCACAUCGCAGCGUUUGCCGGGCACCCUCACUGUCUGCUGUGGCUGCUUCAGACAGGAGUGAACCCCAAUGCACGGGAUUACCUUGGAGAGACAUCCCUCCACAAGGCGGCAAGAACAGGAUCCAUGGAGUGCGUCAACGUCCUGCUCAGCAACAAGGUUCAAGUCGGAAUACCAAACAACAAUGGACAGACAGCGGCCCAGCUUGCAAACUCCUGCAGCCACACUGACCUGGCAAAUUACUUACUGCAGGUUGAAGGAAAACAAGGCCAAACACAGACAAACGGCUCCAUCAGCCGCAGUGUGCCGAGCCACGGCCUGAACGGAGGCGUCUUCCCGCACAGCCCCGGCCUGGGACUCCCCGGGGCCCAGAAGGCCGACACUCCCACCAACGGCUUCCUGGCACAGUCCUGCCAGAAUGGAAGAAAUGCUGUCAAUGGCGCUAAUUCUACAUGCACCUCAUCCAAUGGUUAUUAUGGCUUCCAGGCCACCAACAGUCCUCCCGCCGAGGCCCUGAAUGGCCACCACACAAAUGGUGCAACAAAGCCCUCCAGUGAACAGCCAGAAGAUUGUGAAAUGGAGACAGAUGCAAACCCAAUUGUUGAAGCCAUCAAUGGCAAAGACAAGCCCACUCAACCUUUUUUGGCUAACUUCAUGACAGCUUCCCAGAAUGGGAUUUCUAACGGACAUACUAACGGAGCAUUGCCUGCCUUCACCAGCGGCAGCGCACAGAAUGGCUCCUUCACAAAUGGCAGCGCACAGAAUGGCUCCUUCACAAAUGGCAGCGCACAGAAUGGCUCCUUCACAAAUGGCAGCGCACAGAAUGGCUCCUUCACAAAUGGCAGCGCACAGAAUGGCUCCUUCACAAAUGGCAGCGCACAGAAUGGCUCCUUCAAGGCCGCCAAUGGCCACAAUGGUGACAUGAACCAUGCUAACGGGAGCCCUGCAAGUGUUGUGCCCAAGAUACUGCCCCGCCUGGGCGAAGACAUUAUGCUGAGUGAUGGCGUGUCCAAAAACUUUAUUCCCAUCGCCGGCUGCAAGAGAUCGAGGGAAGAUGUUUAUGUGCCGGAGAUGAAGCGGAUGAGGACUGAUGGUAAGAUGAUAUCCAUUUUGUUCCAUUACCUGUAUUUAUUACAACACAAAUGUAAACUAAAACUGGUCUCUUGUAAGUUCUGGCUACUUUACUUGUAACGGUUACUUAACCUUAUUAUAGAGUCCGAUCAGCUUCAAUUAAUACUUGUAAUAAUGAAACACUAACAAACACUGUCUUCCACAUUAUCCUAGAAGGUUAUCCUUACCUUAGGCUCUUGACUGACACACUCCACUAACAAACAAUGGAACUGGGUCCACAACACUUUGAUUUUCUUGUUUUUUAUGAAAAUAGAUACUCGGAAAACCAUACAACGUAUAGCCCAAGGAAAAGCAUUAUAUAGCAAAAAAACAAAGCCUGCAUUGCCAUUCACACACUUUGUUCUUCAUCACAGGCUUUUUGGCAACUUAUAAGUCUUAUGACAGAUGUAGAUUUUUCCAUGCAACAUUAGCCUUAAAUAAUAGCCUUAGCUACUCUUGGGAUUAUAGAGUAAUUUUUCCUACUUACAAUAACUUAAAAUCAAAACAUUUCAUGUUCUUCAUUCAUUAUACACUCAUUUCAUACUUAUGGGAUAUCUGUAGUGAAUCCUAGAUAAGCAGGGCGUACAUAGCUGGGUCUGUGAACUUGUAUAGGCAGUAAGGCUGGACCUAUCCCUCACCCAUCCAUUUGUAGCAACAGAGGCGGAAACACAACAAAAUAACAGGAUAAUAGGAGUGGAAGGGAGUAAAAACUUGAGAGCAAGCAGUGAAGGAAGCCAGGUUAUAGGAUUAGGUGAGAUCUAUGAGGGGUGUAAAUAUAGGUAUGAAUGUAGAGAGGGGAGUGAUGAAGAGUGCAAUGCUAUCAAACUUGACCUAUGCCGUAGAAAGUGUUAACAUGCAAGGAGGCACAAGAAUCAAGGAUAAAUUCAGUAACAAUGAGCUCAGUAGAUGGGACAAUGAAUAUGUGUAUAUACGAUGUGCCAUGGCUGAUAAGGAAGAAGUGUUGAAUGUUAAGGUGAAUUGUGGAAACUAACAGUGAUUGGUUCUGUCAGGAAUGAGGAAUGGCAAUAUUGUAAGAGUGUGAUUGUUGAGACAGGAUGGAGUAGCUGAGGAAUCACUGGUCAUAGGAAUGGUUAAAAUAUACAAGAGAAAGCUAGAUAGAAAGAAGGGUGAGGGGUGCUUGUGAUCACAGAAAUGGAAGUCCCACUGAGGCUACGAGAGCUGUAGACAGAGAAACUCAAAUGGAUGCCACGGGGCAGGGAAGAUUCAGUGAUAGGAUCCCAAAAGCACUUUAGAAGAAUUCCAUUACAACUCUUGAGCUAGUUACACUAAAGGAUGAUGGGAUAUGGUGCCGGCAAGUUGAGAAUGUACUGGCUGCUCACAUUGUACCUACGGGAAGGCAUGGCUUUUAAUUUGCCAACUAUAGUGUAGACAGACGGGUGUUGUCACACAGCAGAAACUACCUGCUGGACCUGAAUACCUCACCUCAUGCUCUCAACUGCUUGACUCCUCUACUCCUCUGCUGAUAAAUGGGUCACCUGCUCUAGGUCACUCCAUGACACAUCACUGAUAGCUCAUGAUACCUUAAUUAGGGCAAGGAAUCAAAUCACUGCAUUUUGAAGAAGUGCCUUACAACUUUUUUCACUCCUGCCUAUGAUACCAGAGUAGGUCGUCAUAUUAUGAUUAUCAUCAUUCAUUAGGCUGCAAGCUCUUAGGCAAUUAUGUGUGUAGAUGACUCCAAGUAUUCUCAUUUUAAAGCAGAGUAUACUUCAUAAACAAAUGAACCUAUAUUUCAUAGGGGGAAAAUUUAACUCUGAAUAACAGUUCUACUUCUAACUAGCAAAAUCCCUACUCUGUGGAGUGUACAGAUAUUGGCAGCAGCACAACAAAGAUAAGUAGGCCUUCUUAUAAGAAAGGUUUGCCACACCUGUUCUAAAGCACAUUACCUUCUAGAUGACUGACAUCUACUCUGUACUAAAAGCAUUGAACAUGCUAUACCAUUAUUUUUAUAAUGUUAAAGUCCUUCAACACACUUCUCACCAAAGAGACUCAGCCACUCUUGAUGUACGCCCUCAAAGUAACCUCCUCUGCUGUAAUCAGUGACUGGUAUGGAAAAAGGUUGAAUAAAGCUGACACUUGACUUGAGAAUGAAGAGCUGUCCACCUAAUGAUGAAGUAGAACAAGCUUAGUGCUAGUGAGCCUUGACUAAACCUAGUGGCUUGUUGUAGUGAUAAUCAACUUAUCUUCUGGCUUUUAAAGUAGACAAUCACCUGAUGCCUAUGUCUUCCUGUCUUACAAGGCCAUGUCACAAACUUAAGGAACAGAACACCAUUUUUGUAUAUUGGCAAACACGGCAGGACAGUACACCUCCAGUAAUCACGCUUGUGUUGGACAUUUUUUAUGCUGUUACUUCAAAGCAAACUGAUUAGGUCUUGCACGCUCAAGAAAAAUCGUUUUUGGCUCGGUGACUACCAAUACUACCUUCCACAUGAACCCCCUUUAAUAGUUUCCUUUACAAUCGAAUAGAAAAUGAAGUUCAACAAAAUUGCCUACACUCACACCCUCUAAUCCAGCCUGCCAAACUCAUCUGUUCCUUCACAUACUGAGGGUUCAGGGUCUAAUUCCAUCACCUUUUGUACAUUCGUAAAUAUACAGCGUCCUUACAUUCGUGUUCAACUUUGUAAAGAUUCUCAACUCCAUUUUCUCAUACACCAUAUAUCCUGCUUCAUAAAACUCAUUUUCACACAUUCAUAUCAUCCUCUGGGCCUUCCACAUCAACUGUCAUCCAAGUCACUGGUUAUGUCCUCUCCAGCCUUUCCAUGGGGCCAUACUAUCCUAGGAUGCCUUCCUCUACUCUCUGGAUUAAUGAUUUCGUCACACCACACCUUCCUCUCUCAUCAAUAUUCCUCGCUCCAUCAAUUCCCUUCACUAUGUAAAUCAUGCUACUCGGCACACUCUUCUCCACAGCUUUCUCCCUUGACUUUUCAUCCUCAUACCGUGUCAGCAUUUCACAUCUGUUAUGUUGGCAUAAGUUGUACAGUUAAAGUCAACAUGUGUUACAUUAUGGAGCCCUAGUCUUAGCAAAUGCUGUGCAACAAUUGUGUUCAACCAAUUGGUGGCACAUGGUGACAAAACAUUUUCCAGUGAGCUUUUCUACUUUUUUCUGGUUCUCCAGCCGUCUGUCUGGACUGUAUUGUGCUUUCCUAUGAUAUUCAUUUCCAAGGAAAUGCACUUGAUUAAAGUUUUUUUCAGAAAAUUAGUAACAAAUUUCUGAUAGCUAUAAUGCUGACAGCCAUUAGGAAUGAGUUGGUGAAUUGGCCCCAGAGCAAAGGGAAUGUAGGUGUGAGGUGACUACUGAAUGUUGUGGUGAGGAGGGAAGUGUAUGGGUUAGACCAUCUGUAAAAUAAAAACAGAUUAAAGAAUAAUGUAAGAAUAAGUGAACUGUAAUAUACCAAAAUGGUGAGCACUGAGGGUCAUGGAUGGUAGACUGUUGUUGUCACUGUGUGUGGAUGUAUAAUUAAUCUGCUUGGGUCAUCUUGGACAAAUUUGCAAGCUUAUGUGUCCUGAGUCUGAAGGCCUUGGGUUAUCACCCUUGCCUUAGUUAUCUUUAGCGAAGCCUGAACACCAUGCCAGGGAUGGGCCAGAACCUCUGGGAAUCGAACCUGGGAUCUCUUGGUUGUGAGUUGAAUAUGAUAGCCACUGCACUCCUGAGCACAGUAUCACACACCCACACAUACGUAAGGCGGGACACAAUCCCUGUCUGACACAAUGCACCCAUUCACUGCUGGCCAGGCAGGGGCACAGAUGUAAGACUACCUAUCCAUCUCCACUCUGGCUGGGAAUCAAACCCGAGACCUUUUGGUUAUGAGCGGUCUUUACCCACUCCACCACAGAAAACACUAGAAUCUGUCUAGUCUAUUCAGGGUGGACUAAACCUUUAGAAGAGCAGGAAACCAAUAUGACGGGUAAAAUGUGAUCAAAUAGAAAGUUGACCUUUCUGUGUGGUGAAGUAAAUGUAGAUGUAUGAUUUUACUUGCAAGGAAUGUAUGGAAAAUAUUUGCUAGACAGUUGAAAAAACAAAAAGGGAAACCUGGCACCUCGAUAUUAGACCAAACAACCAAAGUUACAGGAGAAAAGGAAUAAAAAGAAGAUUAUGGAGUAAGAGGAAUAAAUUUUUUUAUGGGAAGUGAAUGGGAAUACUGUGAAUGGAAUGGAAUUGUGAUUGUAAGCACACGGAUGACAAAACAAUGUCAGGCAGAUAGUGUGAAGGACUGAAGAUCAGAUUUUUUUCAAUACAAGAUGAAAAUAUGUAGGUAGUCUUUCCAGAUAAUGAAAUACCCAUAUGUUGAGAUUCACAGGAAAUUCAUGAAAAAUUUGAUGUACGGAGUGAUUUCAUGUCUUAUAUUGGUACUGAAAGUCCAGAGUAGAGUAAUGAAAGCCGCUGAAUUUAUUCAUGCAGUGUGACAUGUGGCUGUAUUAUGUCUUGGAUGCUUUGUUCAUGAGCCUUUAGAAUGAUGGGAGGGUGUUGGAGGGGCUAGAAGGACAGUUUGCUGAAGGGGAAAAGUAAUGACAGCUUCCGAAUGUAUUAAAGUAGUGUGAUGCAUAGCUUUUAUGUUGUGUCGGAUGCUGUGUUCAUGAACUUAGGAGAGAUGGAAACAGUUGCAGGGGCUGGAAUGACUGUUAAUCGACAAUAUUAAAUGGAAAUUAAAUGCUGUUAGGUUAGCAGAUGACACUUGUUCUGAGUUCUGAAAAUAAAGGAUUUGCAAACAAUUCUGAGUUGAGGUUGCAAGAAGUGGAAGCUGAAGACAAAUUAGAAAUGAAAUCCGGCAUGGAGAGAGUUGAAGUUGAAAAGUAAAACAGUGCCCACAUUGUAAGAGCUGACUGUGUGAAGCCGGGUGUGAUCAGGCUGAAUAAAUAAUGAAUGAGGUGAAUGAGUUUUAAAUAGUUUGGUUUGUUUGAUCCCCUCCCAAUGUGUAUGGAGGAAGGAGGAAUCUAUGAGCAAUGUGUAUGGAGAGAUGCUGGGAAGGAGAUAUCAAUAAGCAGUGUGUAUGGAGGUUUGCAGGGAAGGAGGAUCUAUGAGGAAGAAAGUAAUUGGUAACAAUGGGGUGCAGAGGUCUAGUGAGUUAAUGUCAAGGCAUGGAAGAGAAGAACCAGAGCAGAGGUCUAGUGAGUUAAUGUCAAGGCAAGGAAGAGAAGAACCAGUGCAGAGGUCUAGUGAGUUAAUGUCAAGGCAUGGAAGAGAAGAACCAGUGCAGAGGUCUAGUGAGUUAAUGUCAAGGUAUGGAAGAGAAGAACCAGAGGUGGGUAAAAGAUGUCAAGAGAAAGGGGAAUGAGAAUUAAGGUACAGAACAGAAAUUAUGGGAAAGCAUGAGAGAUGAUGGUGAGCAUUAAGGUACCGAGGUGUGUCUUUGGUGUGAAAAGAAUGAAGAGUAGUCAUGGCAGUAAGUGAAAUAUCAUAGGCAUAGAAUCCUUUCAGUGUUAAAGGGGAGUCUUCUGUAAUGUGAAUGGGAGGCGUGGAGAGCACUGACAAUGUGUACGGAAGCAAGUUUAACAAGUAGGAGGUUGAGAGGUUUGAUCAGCUAGACAAAAUAGAAAUGUGUAUGUGUGUGGUAUGCCAGAGAGGGUAUACAAGACAGGGAGAUACAGAAAGCCCAGACUGACAGCAAGCAAGGAGAUUAGUUGAUUAAAGAGGAAGGGAGAGCUUGAGCAUGUGAGAAUGAGAUGUAUAGACAGGAUGCGAGAUGUCUUUCACCCUGGCUAACUCUUUGUAGUUUGUAGACAUGAGCUUCAAACUUAUGCAAGUAGGAGAUACUUCAACUCAUCAUGAGGAAGAUUUGAACUAUAGACACUACACAACUGAAGACAGAAGGAGUGUCAGGUCAAGAACUGUCCCAUCAUGAGCUCUGGCAAAGGUCUGAUCCAAGAAUUCAUAUCAAGUAAGAAAAGGCCACACCACCAACUGAACUGCACAAAGAGCAACUGAAGAGAACAAGGAUGAACCCACCUGAACCUGAAGAACAAGAUAUGGGACUUCAGGAAAGGAUCUGCCCUCAAGGUGAUGAAGAGCACAGGUAGGCUGCAGCACCACCUGGCCAUGCCACUCAAGAAAGAAAAUGGAAGGCUUGUGUUCCCAAAAUGUCUGAUAAAGGAAGGAAAUGUGUGUCCAGGGCUGCUGUUGAAUAAAAAAAAUCACUGAAGAGUUUUUAUAGACUAGAAAAAGUAGCUGCUGAGUGCUUCAAUUAUUCCAUGAAAAUAAUUUUUCAUGGCAUAUCUAACAGAUAUACAGUAGAAGGCACAUUUCUCUAAGCUGCUUUUAAAAAGAAGACAAAAGGAAGCACAUCUUGAGAUUCCAGAUCAGAGGCAUGCACAAGGCAAAUUACUAAGGACACACACACACACACACACACACACACACACACACACACACACACA